rnacentral:rRNA from 1 species
GAUGAACGCUGGCGGCGUGCCUAAUACAUGCAAGUCGAGCGAACAGACGAGGAGCUUGCUCCUCUGACGUUAGCGGCGGACGGGUGAGUAACACGUGGAUAACCUACCUAUAAGACUGGGAUAACUUCGGGAAACCGGAGCUAAUACCGGAUAAUAUAUUGAACCGCAUGGUUCAAUAGUGAAAGACGGUUUUGCUGUCACUUAUAGAUGGAUCCGCGCCGCAUUAGCUAGUUGGUAAGGUAACGGCUUACCAAGGCAACGAUGCGUAGCCGACCUGAGAGGGUGAUCGGCCACACUGGAACUGAGACACGGUCCAGACUCCUACGGGAGGCAGCAGUAGGGAAUCUUCCGCAAUGGGCGAAAGCCUGACGGAGCAACGCCGCGUGAGUGAUGAAGGUCUUCGGAUCGUAAAGCUCUGUUAUUAGGGAAGAACAAAUGUGUAAGUAACUAUGCACGUCUUGACGGUACCUAAACAGAAAGCCACGGCUAACUUCGUG